AUCCAAGUGAAAGAAGAUGGAGAAAAACUAAUGUAAAUAAUUCAGUUGCUUAGAAAAUCCAAAUGGAGCAACG
rnacentral:tRNA from 1 species